AAGCUACAAAUGAGAUUACACACUGACCAAGUCAUGCUGGAACAAGUACAAGAGGAGAACCAGCGCUUGAAUCAGCAAGUUGCAAGUCUGACAGCUGCAUUUACUGCAGAAAAUGGAGGCACAAGAUCUUCUUGCCAAGGAGGAAGCACUGAAGGAGGUUCAGGAGAAUUACAUCUUCCUGGAAAGUGAAAUCAAGUCACCCAGAGAUGUGCCUGGAGGAGGAAACAGCACAGAGACGACAUCCUCCCAGCUGUCUUCCAAGCUAUUGGUCACAGGCUCCAUCACUCCAAGCUCCACAACAGAUGGGUCAAUGUAUUCUUCAGACAUGUCCUUUGU